CAGCAGCCGCGGGAAUACGUAGGGUGCAAGCGUUAAUCGGAAUUACUGGGCGUAAAGCGUGCGCAGGCGGUUAUGCAAGACAGAUGUGAAAUCCCCGGGCUCAACCUGGGAACUGCAUUUGUGACUGUAGAGCUGGAGUGUGGUAGAGGGGGAUGGAAUUCCGCGUGUAGCAGUGAAAUGCGUAGAUAUGCGGAGGAACACCGAUGGCGAAGGCAAUCCCCUGGGCCUGCACUGACGCUCAUGCACGAAAGCGUGGGGAGCAAACAGGAUUAGAUACCCGAGUAGUCCCUGACUCUUAUAC
rnacentral:rRNA from 1 species